GAGUUGGCAGAAUGUAUAUAAGAUCAUAUUUAUGAGUAGGUCAAACAAAAUAUGACUGACAGAACUCAUCAACUUCUAGAUGCUCGAUCAAAGGGCAGAUACACAGUGGUAGGUGUUUUGUCCCAGUCUCAAGCCGUCA